rnacentral:lncRNA from 1 species
CGAUCAGACAACCACAUCAACACAACUCAUUUAAUUUCAGGUGAAAACUUUGCCAAUAAUGGAAAGCAGCAAGUUCAUGUCAACUGACAGAGCUACAGUUAUCAUCCAAGUAAAUCCACAAGUGAAACAAGAUAAUGUUAUUUGUGAUGACGAACAGCAGGCCAGAGGAGCAUAUCACAAUACUGCUCUUAAAGGAUUUUUCAAAGCACAACCAAAGGCACUAGGGACUGUCCAGAUAAUGAUAGGAGUGGUGAUUUUCUUGUUUGGUAUUGUAUGCACCACU